GAAUAUUGCGCAAUGGGGGCAACCCUGACGCAGCAACGCCGCGUGCGGGAUGACGGCCUUCGGGUUGUAAACCGCUUUCAGCAGGGAAGACAUCGACGGUACCUGCAGAAGAAGCCCCGGCCAACUACGUGCCAGCAGCCGCGGUCACACGUAGGGGGCGAGCGUUAUCCGGAUUCAUUGGGCGUAAAGCGCGCGCAGGCGGCCCGCUAAGCGGGGCCUCUAAUCCCCGGGCUCAACCCGGGGCCGGGCCCUGAACUGGCAGGCUCGCGUCAGGUAGGGGGAGGCGGAAUUCCCGGUGUAGCGGUGGAAUGCGCAGAUAUCGGGAAGAACACCGACGGCGAAGGCAGCCUCCUGGGCCUCGACGGACGCUGAGGCGCGAAAGCUGGGGGAGCGAACA
rnacentral:rRNA from 1 species